rnacentral:tRNA from 1 species
AGCCAUGUGGUGUAGUGGUUUGAAUGUUGGACUACAACUCUGGAGACCAGGAUUCGAUUCCCAGUUUGGCCA